GAUGAAGAACGGAGCGAAAUGCGAUAAGUAGUGUGAAUUGCAGAAUUCAGUGAAUCAUCGAAUCUUUGAACGCACAUUGCGCCCCUUGGUAUUCCAUGGGGCAUGCCUGUUCGAGCGUCAUUUGUACCCUCAAGCUAAGCUUGGUGUUGGGUGUUUGUCCACUCCCUCGUGUUUGGACUCGCCUUAAAACAAUUGGCAGCCAGUGUUUUGGUAUUGAAGCGCAGCACAAUUUGCGAUUCUAGCCUAGAAUACUAGCAUCCAUCAAGUCAUUUUUAACGCUUGACCUCGGAUCAGGUAGGGAUACCCGCUGAACUUAAGCAUAUCAAUAAGCGGAGGA
rnacentral:misc_RNA from 1 species